AGAGUUUGAUCCUGGCUCAGAAUGAACGCUGGCGGCAUGGAUUAGGCAUGCAAGUCGUACGCUCUCUUCGGAGAGAGUGGCGAAAGGGUGAGUAACGCGUGAGCAAUCUGCCCCCAAGUUUGGAAUAACUGUUGGAAACGACAGCUAAUACCGGAUGUGGUUAUUUGAUAGCAUUUUUAAAUGACUAAAGGUUUACCGCUUGGGGAUGAGCUCGCGUCCCAUUAUGCUAGUGGUGAGGUAACGGCUCACCAAGGCUAUGACGGGUAGGUGGUCUGAGAGGAUGGUCACCCACACUGGGACUGAGACACUGCCCAGACUCCUGCGGGAGGCUGCAGUCGAGAAUCUUCCGCAAUGCGCGAAAGCGUGACGGAGCAAUGCCGCGUGAAGGAUGAAGGCUUUCGGGUCGUAAACUUCUGUCAGAGGGGAAAAAUUAUGAUGGUACCCUCAGAGGAAGCCACGGCUAACUACGUGCCAGCAGCCGCGGUAAUACGUAGGUGGCGAGCGUUAUUCGGAUUUACUGGGCGUAAAGGGUCCGUAGGGGGAUAGAUAAGUCUGAUGUGAAAUGCCGCAGCUCAACUGCGGAACUGCAUUGGAAACUGUUUUUCUUGAAUCAGGUAGAGGUAAGAGGAAUUUGUGGUGUAGCGGUGGAAUGCGUAGAUAUCACGAGGAACUCCAAAGGCGAAGGCAGCUUACUGGGCCAUGAUUGACCCUGAGGGACGAAGGCCAGGGUAGCGAAAAGGAUUAGAUACCCUUGUAGUCCUGGCCGUAAACGUUGUACACUCGAUGUCGGGGGAAUUAGCCCCUUCGGUGUCUAAGCUAACGCGAUAAGUGUACCGCCUGGGAAGUACGGUCGCAAGACUAAAACUCAAAGGAAUUGACGGGGGCCCGCACAAGCGGUGGAGCAUGUGGCUUAAUUCGAGGCAACGCGAAGAACCUUACCUGGGUUUGACAUAUACCUGACCGCAAUCGAAAGGUUGUUUCUCUUCGGAGUAGGUAUACAGGUGCUGCAUGGCUGUCGUCAGCUCGUGCCGUGAGGUGUUCGGUUAAGUCCGGCAACGAGCGCAACCCAUGUCAUUAGUUACUAACAGAUAAUGCUGAGGACUCUAGUGAGACUGCCCGUGUUAAGCGGGAGGAAGGAGUGGACGACGUCAAGUCAGUAUGGCCCUUACACCCAGGGCUGCACACGUGCUACAAUGGCCGGUACAGAAGGCAGCAAUACCGCGAGGUGGAGCUAAUCCCCAAAACCGGUCCCAGUUCGGAUUGAAGUCUGCAACUCGACUUCAUGAAGUUGGAAUCGCUAGUAAAGGCGUAUCAGCUACGACGCCUUGAAUACGUUCCCGGGCCUUGUACACACCGCCCGUCACAUCAUGGGAGCUGAAUGCACCCGAAGUCGUUGUACCAACCCGCAAGCAGGAGGGAGACGUCGAAGGUGUGCUCAGUGACUGGGAUGAAGUCGUAACAAGGUAACC
rnacentral:rRNA from 1 species